rnacentral:rRNA from 1 species
UACGUAGGGGGCAAGCGUUGUCCGGAAUCAUUGGGCGUAAAGCGCGUGUAGGCGGCCCGGUAAGUCCGCUGUGAAGGUCCAGGGCUCAACCCUGGGAUGCCGGUGGAUACUGUCGGGCUCGAGUCCGGAAGAGGCGAGUGGAAUUCCUGGUGUAGCGGUGAAAUGCGCAGAUAUCAGGAGGAACACCAAUGGCGAAGGCAGCUCGCUGGGACGGUACUGACGCUGAGGCGCGAAAGCGUGGGGAGCAAACAGG